rnacentral:rRNA from 1 species
GAUGAACGCUGGCGGCGUGCCUAAUACAUGCAAGUCGAGCGAACAGACGAGGCGCUUGCUCCUCUGACGUUAGCGGCGCGCGUGUGAGUCACACGUGUAUAACCUACCUAUAAUACUGGGAUAACUUCGGGAAACCGGAGCUAAUCCCGGAUAAUAUAUUGAUCCGCAUGGGUCGAUAGUGAAAGACGGUUUUGCUGUCACUUAUAGAUGGAUCCGCGCCGCAUUAGCUAGUUGGUAAGUUAACGGCUUACCAAGGCUACGAUGCGUAGACGACCGGCGAGGGUGGUAGCCCACCUGAGAGCGUGAACGCGGACAAGACUCCUACGAGAGGGAGCAGUAGGGAACCUGCCGCAGUGGGCGGAAAUUUUGCGGAGCAACGGCACGCGAGUGAUGAAAGUCCUCCGAGCGUGAAACUGGGUUACGAGGGAAGAACAAAUGUGUAAGUAACUAUGCACGUCUUGACGGUACCUAAUAAGAAAGCCACGGCUAACUACGUG